ACGAAAACCACCUGUCCACAGGAAGAGAUACAUUUCGACAUGUGGUGUAUCCCUACAUGCUCGAGAACACUUGUUUUGUCGCCGGAUCAUAAGGACAGUUCUUGAGUACAACGAGUACACCGUGUAUGAUCUGAAACUGACAAGUAUAAGGUUCUUGGUAGAAGUUAAGUACAAGGAGAAGGGAACCAAGAUAGUGCGAACCAGAUUAGCUUCAGAUAGCUGUUAGAUUUUUUUUGCGGUUAUGGUGGAGAGAAUCCAUGGCAAUGGAGGGUUUUUGGUGUCAUCAUGUUUCUAAUAUUAUAGGCUUUUCCCUUGGGUUGCAAGUAAACUAUUAGAGAUAUUUAAGAACCGGUUCUUAGAUUUUUUAGUUAAAAGUUAAAAGAAUGGUUUUUAUAUUCCGUUAAGAACUCCACCCCUAAGAACCCUCCAUUAAACAUGUUCUUAAAAUAAUUAUUAGCUAUCACCAGAGAUGUGUGAGAAAGAAAUAACUCAAACAACUUUUAAAAUACAUGACCGGUUUGCUCGUUGAUUCUUGGAUUGUUACCAUACAACACAAACAUACAGAACCAUCAAGUUAUCCAGACAGCUUUCUAGGUUUGAGACAACUCAGUUGUCUCUGUGGAUCUCAAACUCUGCAUCUGUAGUUCAAACAACACAUGGUCCUGUCCUUAUUCACAAUGCUGUUUACAAAAUUCAACAAAUUAACAUCUCUUUCUGAAUCUUGUUUCUUCAUGAUGUAUAAUGACUCAUAUAUAAUCCAUCUGUGAAUGGAUACAAAUCCAACGUCUGAGUAUUUAUUGGUCAGGGAAAAUAAGAAACUUACAUGUGAGCUGGUGAUCCUCUUUGAUACCAUCUGUUUCUUGUUUUUAAAGUGAAAUAAAGAAUUUGCUAAUUCAUCAUCAAGAAUCAAAGUCCAUUGGUGUUCUAAGCUUAGAAGCUGCAAGAAAAGGAAAAACGUCUUCAUUAUGGAGUUAUAGAACCAGAAGUUACCUCUUCAGGCGCAGUGUAUCUGAACAAGUUAUCGGAAAUAUCAGUGCUGUUACUCUGGGAAUGGCUCGAUGACCACCUGUUGCUCCUAUAGUUCCAUGGUUUAGAAGUCGUUGCAGCAGAAGGUGCACCAAUGCCUCAUUCUGAUUGACCAGCCUGCGAUGGGCCAAGCAAGAUAUCCAAGUGUUGCUUGUUGCUCUGUGGUUCUCUCAUAGAAAUUGAUAGUUAGUUAAAGAGGGAUCUGGCGAUGGAGCAUGUCUGUCAAGUUAUAAACUUGUUAUAAGCAAAUAAAAGAAACGUAAUUUUUUCUACAUUUUGGAACUUUUUAGAGCUAGUGAACUUUUUUUAUACUUUUAGCUCAUUUUCGAAUAAAAAACAACAUGCAAUUUGUCUUAAAACGAAGCGCAGUUUCAAAUAUUUUUUAAACGAGAAGAAAAUGUUUUGAAGAGUAAGUUCCGUAACUCAACUUUCGUCUGUGGGAAGUGGCUUACCUCCUUCUCUUUAAAUAAAUCCGACUCUCUUCAUUCAUUACUUACCUUUUCUCAUCGAAAUCCAAUAGCCAGUGUAAGUUUAGAGAGUAUUUCAUAUACUUAUUAGUUGUAAGGGCGUUCACGAGUUAACCGUGAAUCGUCUGCCAUGGUUGUAUCCUGAAACUCGAUAUUUCCCACAGUCCCGUCUCAUUACGGAGUGAAUAUUUACAGUUAAGGAAAUAGAUCGUAUCUCGACUCCAUGUUUCUUUUCAAAAACGUUUGCAUAUCAUUUUUUCAUUUCAUCUUUUGAAUCGUCUAUUUCCUUAAUAUCGUUCAUGUAUUUCGAUUUUCCGGCUUCCUAUAGAAAUAAGUAGAGUCAGAGAGUUCGGGUUGAAACUUGGAAGGAAAAAGGGUUUAGGGUUUGUUACUUUUCUUCUCCGCGAAUUGUCUAAGAUAGAAGAGAUUUUUAUCUCUGGGCUGCAUCAGACCGGCCCAUUAACCCAUAUUUUCAUUUACCAAAACACAUUUGUCUCUUUCUCUCUUUCUUUUUUUUUUUUUUUAAAAUAACUCUUUCUCUCUUUCACCACGAAAAACUGAGCAUAAUUAAGUACAUAACAUACUACGUAAUGUAUUUAACCUUCUUUGCAUCUUUACCCAAGCCUCAUCAAUAAAACCUUGGAAACUAGCAAAAGGUUUAGACGAGAUGAACUGCAGAAUUCAUCAAACAUUACUGUAUGGAGCACAUUCAUUGUAAAAUGGGAAAGUAAUACUACAUUUCUCAUGAGUAUAAGAGUAUAAGACCAAUGUAUUUGCCUCUUGGUUCAAUCAAAUCAUCAAGAUCCUGACUGCAAGUGCGAAGUUUAUGUUUUGGAAAAAAAGAAUGAUGCUGAUAUUGUGUACGUUCGAAACAUUUGAGAAAAAAAACAUCAUUGAGGCACGACUUGGAGAUUAUAUAAGGGAACAAAGGUUAAUAAAGGUAAGGGGGGGACAUGAAACUAUUAAAUUUAAGAUUAAGAAAAGAAGAAUGCAUAUCACAAGGUGAAAGUCUUGGGUCUAGAUCACUAUCUUGAAUAUUAAAGAUCUCACAAUAAGUUCAAAAUAGAUCGAGACGAGAUAAAAGAUAAAAUAAAAGACUAGAGGUUCUCGAGGCCGCGUAAGUUCGAGUUUGGACAGUAAGUGUAGUUAUGUUAAAGAGGCCAACAGACGAAUGGUUAUUAAACAUCAUUUCUUCUCUCGUCUGCGCUUACAAUCCUAACUUAUGGUUUUAACCAGGAAGAGAAGCAUCUAAUGUUUUUAUUUUAUUUUAUAGUAUCUAAGAAGCUACAAUAAUGGUUUUUGUAUGGUCAGUUCUAAAAUUCGAUAAAGAAAAAGUAUGGUCAGUUCUAAUAAGUCAGCGGUAGCUCAAUCAUAUUGAAGUCAUAAGAUGUGCUGCGUUAAGGUGGGGAUGUCGAGUAUGGGUUCAGAAGUUUGAAGGGUGUUUCCUAAGGUCAAACCCCACAUGACACCCAUAUCUAAACUUACAAAAAGGGGGAAAAUGCAGUGAACUAGACAUCGUACAUGUGAUACAGUUAUCAUCAAGUGUCUUCAUCUCUUAGUAGUUAGUACUAAAUAAAAUGUUUCUGUAACUCCACUGCACAGGUUCCAUAUCUACCCAUUUCUUAUUUUUAUUUGGGUGGCUGUAAUCUUUAUAUAUUAUGACAAAGAUAUGUAGCUACUAGUUUGAGCUGAUAUUGAUGAUAUGUUGUUAUCAAAUUCAAAUACGAUAGAAUUCAUAUAUAUUUGAACUAAAUAGCUGUCAUCCGGUACGCGUGCUUUUACGCGGCAUCCUUCGUUUCUUCUUGGCUUCUGGAAAUUUUCUCAAUAACUGUAGAUCGUGAUGAUAUGCAAAUAUGGAGUCAAGCUUAGAACUCUCAAAGAUGAAUUUGAAAUGAAUCCAUGUAUGCAGAUGCAUUAUUAUUAGGAUAAAAACAUUCUUUAACUUCUAAAUUAAAACCAAAAAACUUUCGAUUCGUGUUUGAACCAAACAAUUGUUUGACUUAAAAAAUAUUGGCCGUUUUAAUUUUUAUAUUUUGUUGAUUCGACCAUUUAAAAAACCUUGAAUAAUCAACAGUUAAACUCGAUUAAAAACUAAAUGUCUCUUAACUCUCUAACAACCCCGUUUUGAAAACUGAUUAAAAACUUAAUCAUACGAUGUCGUGUUGUAUAGAUAGUAACCAUUUAAUCCCUUCUUUUUAGCGAAACCCAAAAAUUCCCAAAUUGAAAAUUCUAAAAUCAUAUACUAUAUUUAGGAUUUCCUGGGUUUCAUGAGAGAAGAGAUUAAAUGCUUAUUAUCUAUGCAAAAUAACGUUUUAUAAUUUAGUUUUUAAUCAGUUUUCAAAAUGAUGUCGUCAGAGAGUUAACAAACAUUUAGUUUUCUUAAUCAAGUUUAAUAGUUGAUUGUUCAAGUUUUAAAUGGAUGAAUCAAAAAAUAUCAGAGGUAAAACGGCCAAUAUUUAAAAGUUGAAGAAUAUUUUUAGUUCAGAAUUUGGAGAUUUUAUUGGCUUUAAUUUGAAAUUUCACGGUGUCAAUGGCUGUUUUCUCUUAUUAUUAGUGAGGAAGAUGAUGAAAUGUAUCUUAUGGUUACUAAACCAAACGGAUUAUAAUUACUACGUACAAUUAGUUACCUCAAAGGUUAUAUACUUUGAACUUCCUCAUGAGAAGAAAAUGUUAGAUAUACCGAUAUCAAAGAAACUUGUAGGAAUUAAUUAGGUUAAGAAUAUCAUGGUUUAAAGUUCAAAAAAAAAGAAAAGAAUAUCAUGGUUUAUAAUACGAAAAAUAAUAUUUUAGUGCAAAAAUCUGAAACAACAGGCUACUUUACAAAAUUUAAUUAGUAUCUGAGUUAUUUAUUAAAAAAUUGUCCCUUUUAUCGACUAGGAGUAGGACAUACAUAAAUCUAAUACUAAAGUAACUAAAAAUGGACCUAGAUUACUAUUUUAGAAAAACUAAAUAACAUUCUUUUAAAAAAAAACAUAAA